GUGUGUAGGCCUCACUGCCACCACCGGAGCUAUUUUCGUCUCCCGGAGAUGUUCUUUAAAGCCUUUUAAAAAUGGGGAGGGGGCAGGGAAGAAGAGUGAAACAGAAGAGUCCCAGGCCCCAUUUCCGAGACUCUAAGGGCACACCAUUAAAUUGGGGGAGGGGGGCCUGGCACCCGACCCACCGGGGAAAUUCGGAAGGACACAAAGAGUCACCGGCUUUAUUUGAUUUAUUCUACAAUCCAGGAAAACUUUCUGUCUUUUUUUAAAAAUACAAAUCUGUUAGUGGCGACCAGUCACUGUACUGGUCAUUCUUAUAACCAUGCUGCCCACGAUCUGUAGGAAAGAACUCAAGGCAAAUCCUUGUGGUCGUUUCUGCAAACAAGCUAUUUUAGAGGGGAUGGCCCCAUGACAGAUAAAGCACAGAUAACUUCUUUCUACAGUUUACUUUGGGCUAUUUGUGCAUUGUCAGGUGUAUUUAUGCAACUGCUGGUCAUCAUAGUACUGUGAAUAUUCUUCGAUGUUCCUGGUGAAGCAGUAUCCAGUCCCAGCUUCGGCCCAUUCUUUGCCCUUCUUUAUCACUGAUUGCCCAUCUGCAGUAGCAGAAUGGGCUAAGGAAUUUUUCCCCAAGACUACAUUUGCCCUUGGCUCAGCCACUCUCAUGUAUUGGUAAAGUCACUGUCCCCCACUGAUUCCAAAUUCCUACAAUGACAGCACAAGCUGAGCUUGCAAAAAUAGAUCAGUGGCAAGAAGAAUUGAAUCAGAAAACCAGAGGAGAUCAAAGAGAAAGACUCUUAACUCAUCCAAGAUCCAUAGGUUGCCUUGUUGGGUCUUUCCCUUCAGAGUCACAGUCGAAGAACCUCUAGCGAAUCCCAGGAGGAAGGUACUGUAAUUACGCAAAGGCCAGACAUUCAGAAUUGGAGGAGAGCCUGGCUGAAGUAGACUAAGAGGGUCAGAGGACUAUUGACCAUGGCUGCGUCCCAAGUCUGCUCCUCCCUGGACAAGGGGGCCAGCUCCUCAGCCUCCUUGGAAGGCAGAAGGAUUUGCUGGUGCAUUCAAGCGGUGCCCAAAGCUUCCGAGGAUCAAGGACGCGGAAUGGGGCAAGGCCUGAUGAGAACCCUAGCGGUGACAUCCAUAGAUGCGAUCAUAAGGUCCCAUUACCAAACCAAGAGUUUUCUGCCAGAUACAAUGCAGGUCUCAUUAACCAACUCGCCCGUGGGAAAGCUGGGGAGCCACAUCUCCAUCUGAUAGAAUCUGAACGUUUCAGGUAACCAAAGCUUGAUCCUUUUAACAGAAGACGUUAUCAACUUGCUUCUUGCAGCCCUAGAAAACAAUCAAGUCACAACAAGGGUGAAAUUAUUUAACCAGAGAGACGCAUGCAGCUUCUGCAUGACAGGCCGCAGGGUGGGAAGGGCCAGCAGGUUUCUAACAUAGCAUUUGGAAGGCAAUGGUAGCUUUAAUCAUAGUUCUUUAGCUGCUGGAAGCCUUUCCCCUCUCCAGUUUACAUUCUCAGAGGCAUUUACCUUUUUUUAACUAAAAGAAUAAGAAAACAAGAAGGGACCAGUGGUCCAAAGAUAGUGAGCUCACAUGGGAUCUUUUAUUGGUCAGCAGGAUGAACAGAAGGGAGUAGGACUAUUGGUCUAUACCAAGACCUAGUUUUUGGAGAUUAGCAAAAAGAUGUUAAAGAGCUUAGGCGAAGCUAGCCAAGGUUGUGCCUCUAUUUCCUGAGUACACCUUAGAAGAAUCCAUAUACAAAACCAUAUUCAAGCGUAUUUCCCAAAAGUGUGCUUUUUAAGUAAGAUAAAAUUAUUAAUAAGCCCAUCACAUCAGCCAGCUGGAUACUAAUCACCCUCAACCUUCCUGUAACUUGUUCCCUGUCUAACCCCACUGACAUUACCUGCUUGUCGUAUAAACAUAAUUCCACAAGGAUGGGUCCAAUCCGUGUGCCGAUGACUUCAACACACACAUCCCUGGAAUUAAACCAUGACAGGCAAAAACAGAGAUCUUGGGAGAGAAUGGGAAGACGACUGCUUGCAUAUUUCCUGGUUAUCACUUGCUUUCCUGGAGUCUCUCUCUGGCCCUGUCUGCAGUUCAUUUUCAACAGAUGCGGUAAAGGCUCUUGAAAAAGACAUGGCUCGUCGCAUCUCAACUAGGAAUAGAUUAAGUGGAUGGUUUACUUAAAAUAGGGGCGUCUACCAUGCCCCUAACAUGAAAACAAAAUCAGUUUCCUGCAAGGACAAGGUCCACGACAGCUCUGGGAGUGUAUGGAUGAGCUUUGGAAGUCUUGAAGACGUAGGGAAGGUGGUGGGGGGAUGCGCGCACACAUGCAUGUUGGUUCUCAAGAGAAGACGCAUACUUUCCUCACAUUCACGUUUCCAGAAAGGUGAAGAGCCACCGAAAUAAGGAUCGCUCUUUGCAGCAUUGAACAUGAACACACAUUUCCUUCAGCCAAACGUCACGCUGCCUACAACAUGGAUCGUGUUCAGCAAUCACCACUAUUCCAAAAGAUGGUUUUAAAACACAGUACAACUCUCAAUCAUCAAAGAAAUUUAUUUUCAAAGUAUUUUACUUAACGGAUAUAGGAGAAUAUAGCAGCCUAUUAGAAAGGUUUGAAUAUUGAGUUAGAACCAAGUUUAGGUUUUGUUAGCGGUAGACAUAGGACACACUGCAGAGCAGACAGCAGAGCUCAGAGAUCUGAGAUGCAACGGGGCGGGGGGGAGACUGGGGCUCUUCCAUUGCUUUGGGUGGUGGAGGUGGUGGAGUGUUCCUGCUUUUGCUUGAGCUGCCUGGGCAGUUCUCUGUGCCAAGCAAGGUGAGCUAUAGGACGAAAGUACUCAUUGUUUCAGACAGGACUAUCAGGAGCCUUUGGUGCAAAGGGAUGCAAAGAAAAGGGGACAGAAGCCAGCUCACAGCAGGGCAGGGAGGGACAGGUCAGUGGAAGGCAUGGGCGGGGUGUCGGAAUCAACAGGCCCAAGGGUUCCCCUUCCAAAACUGGAGUAAAGGUUGGGUAGCAAAAGAGUUACAAACAAAGGAUGGGGAAAUAAUAACACAGAGCAGAAGGUAAUGAACUGGUGUGAGAAGCUCUGAGUUAAGAGUCCUUUGGAAUAGCCCAACUCCACUGGCCUUAGGAAAUGUUUUAGAAAAAGGUCUGCGGCUAGAGAAAUCAUCAGUGAAUUGGUAAUGCCUUAAACUGGUAAUAAAGGGGGACAAAUUAAGAAUGUAAAGCUUUCAGGAGAGCCAGAAAUAAAGCUGCACUUCCUUGAACAAGGGCUGAUGUGCACUGUAUGAAAUUAUCUAGCACCCAAAGCACAGCAGUGCCGACCAUUUUAAAUAUGUGUAGACACCCCUGUAAUUUGUACCAUAAAUAUCCGAAAGAAUGACUGGUCUCAGAAGUUUAUUUUACACCGAGGGUUUUCUGGAGUCCUUUCAUGUCAGGACCCAAUUUUCCAUUUGAGAUAGCACAUUUAGUGCCUGGGUAGAGACAGGAGCAGAGUUUUCCUUGGCAACCAGGCUCCACUGGAAAAAAUAAUCAAGGUGUCACCCGAUGCCGCAAGCUCCCGAUGGUGUUGUCAUCUGUGUGGACCUGCCAGUCGCCGGAGCAGCAGAGACUCAGCGUCACGGAAAGAUGGCUAAACUUAGAGUCAGGACCGUGGAGGGGGAGUGGCAUGCCUGUCCCUUUCUACUGUGGGGACUUUAGGCAACUCAUUCACCUCCCCCAAACUGGGUUUCCUCUUCAGUAACUGCCUCAUCUCCGCUCACAGUCCUGGGAGCAGGAGGCUUCUGGAGAGCACUAGUGAGCUUCCGAGGUUGUCUCCGCUCCGAGCUCUUCCCCAUGGAAAGCCUCCAGUGGCGGGUCUCUCCUUUCUCAGCACCCUCCGUGUCUGGGCUUGUUUUUGUUUGUCUGACCUGAGUAACACUCCCAGCCCAUUUUUAAAAGUUGGUUUUGGUUUUCAGUCUUGAGACUGCAUUUUGCUAAAUCCCUGAGUUCUCAAAGUUGCCCAGGCUGAGCUCCAACUUGUGAUCCUCCUGCCUCAGCCUUCCAAAGGGCUAAGAUUACAGGUGAGCACCAUCAUACCCGGCUCCUUAUCUCUUCUUCUGCUUUUUAUUGUUCCCGUCUAUCUGCUGCUCCAGGUCUUUGCUGCCUCUAAUGUAACAGAUGUUUUAUUUGUCUUUUGGGGUAUCUGUUACACAAUAAGUGCUCUAUAAUUGCUAACUGAAUAAACAAUUACCAUGGGAGAA